rnacentral:sRNA from 4 species
AUCUAUCAUUCGUAACAGUGCGGUUCCCGCGUGCCAAUCCAGGGCCCCCGACGGCUGCUCGCCACGGUUUGUCAGAC